rnacentral:pre_miRNA from 1 species
CCUCACUUUGAGUCUCUCCUCAGGGUGCUGCAGGCAAAGCUGGAGACCCAGGGAGAGACGUAAGUGAGG